GAUAAACGCUGGCGGCGUACCUUAUGCAUGCAAGUCGAACGGUCUCGGUUUACCGAGAUAGUGGCGAACGGGUGAGUAACACGUAAGUAACCUGCCCCUAAGUAGAGAAUAACUCUGAGAAAUUGGAGCUAAUGCUGUAGUGGUGAUGGAGGUAAUGCUCCAUUACUAAAGCCUUCGGGCGCUUAGGGAGGGGCUUGUGUCCGAUUAGCUAGUUGGUAGGGUAAUGGUUUACCAAGGCGAUGAUCGGUAGCUGGUCUGAGAGGAUGGCCAGCCACACUGGGACUGAGACACGGCCCAGACUCCUACGGGAGGCAGCAGCAAGGAAUAUUGUGCAAUGGGCGAAAGCCUGACGCAGUGACGCCGCGUGGGGGAGGAAGGCCUUCGGGUUGUAAACCCCUUUUCUCAGGGAAGAAUAAUGACGGUACCUGAGGAAUAAGUCACGGCUAACUACGUGCCAGCAGCCGCGGUAAUACGUAGGUGGCAAGCGUUAUCCGGAUUCAUUGGGCGUAAAGAGGGCGUAGGCGGCCUUUCAAGUCGGAUGUAAAAUCUCCCGGCUUAACUGGGAGCGACCAUUCGAUACUGCUAGGCUAGAGGGCAGCAGAAGGAGGUGGAAUUCCCGGUGGAGUGGUGAAAUGCGUAGAUAUCGGGAGGAACACCAGUGGCGAAGGCGGCCUCCUAGGCUGUUUCUGACGCUGAGGCCCGAAAGCAUGGGUAGCGAACAGGAUUAGAUACCCUGGUAGUCCAUGCUGUAAACUAUGGACACUAGGUAUAGGGAGUACCGACCCUCUCUGUGCCGAAGCUAACGCGUUAAGUGUCCCGCCUGGGGAGACGGUCGCAAGGCU
rnacentral:rRNA from 1 species